rnacentral:rRNA from 1 species
UGCAGGCGAGCGGCGGACGGGUGAGUAAUGUCUGGGAAACUGCCUGAUGGAGGGGGAUAACUACUGGAAACGGUAGCUAAUACCGCAUGACCUCGAAAGAGCAAAGUGGGGGACCUUCGGGCCUCACGCCAUCGGAUGUGCCCAGAUGGGAUUAGCUAGUAGGUGAGGUAAUGGCUCACCUAGGCGACGAUCCCUAGCUGGUCUGAGAGGAUGACCAGCCACACUGGAACUGAGACACGGUCCAGACUCCUACGGGAGGCAGCAGUGGGGAAUAUUGCACAAUGGGCGCAAGCCUGAUGCAGCCAUGCCGCGUGUGUGAAGAAGGCCUUCGGGUUGUAAAGCACUUUCAGCGAGGAGGAAGGCGUUAAGGUUAAUAACCUUAGCGAUUGACGUUACUCGCAGAAGAAGCACCGGCUAACUCCGUGCCAGCAGCCGCGGUAAUACGGAGGGUGCAAGCGUUAAUCGGAAUUACUGGGCGUAAAGCGCACGCAGGCGGUUUGUUAAGUCAGAUGUGAAAUCCCCGAGCUUAACUUGGGAACUGCAUUUGAAACUGGCAAGCUAGAGUCUUGUAGAGGGGGGUAGAAUUCCAGGUGUAGCGGUGAAAUGCGUAGAGAUCUGGAGGAAUACCGGUGGCGAAGGCGGCCCCCUGGACAAAGACUGACGCUCAGGUGCGAAAGCG